GUCAAAAGAGAAAUAGAGAACCUAUCUUGUGAGAUGAAAUCAAAAGCAGCUAGGUUUGUUUCACCUAAGAAAGUCAAGGUUGAGUGUACUAUUCGUAGUUACAUUUUGGAGAUGGGAAAAUAUGAGGGAAAAAUGAGAACUGUUGAAAUUUAAAGAUAGUUCAAAGCAAAAUGCACACGAUUUUGUCCUAAAAAGUAGUUAGCUAGAAGAUUUGUAUCUCCUGAAAAUGCAGAAAUGGUCUUCCAACAUGGGAAGUAUGAAGGAAAAAAGGAAAUUAGUUCAAUAUACAGCAUGAGGCAUUUACAACAGAAUAGGAAGGAUCCUACAAUCUGGCAUAUGAAACUCAGGCUGUUCUACUUGCUGGUAUCUGCAAGAGGGGCUGAAGUAAGACUUGAUUGCUGUUUGCACUCCAUUCAUAUUGUACUUAAUUAGCUCUUUGCUUCAGGGCCUCUGCCAGGUUCUGGUGCCAAAUAGACUUCUGUGUGUCAAGAGCUUUCAGGACUGGAAACUACAGCUUGCAAAAUGAAUAAAAGUAUACUGUUGAAGAGAAAGACAAGUGGGGAAAAUAAAUUAUGAAUGUUAGAUGGAGUAGGAAUCUAUGGGAGGACUGAGACGAGACGGACAUGGGGAAGAUCUAAGUGUGGUGCUGGCCCUGGAAGAAGGUCCCAGGGACAGACUGGUAGACUGCUUCUUGCAAAAGAACAAGAAACAAGCACAGAACAAGAAACCAGAAGAAAACAAGAAACAAGUACACCAAGAACUGCUGACACUGCACUGAGACACUGCUGCCGUUUGAAUGUGUCUUAG
rnacentral:lncRNA from 14 species